GACGGAAGGUGCAAGCGUUGCUCGGAAUCACUGGGCGUAAAGGGUGCGUAGGCGGCUUGGUAAGUUGGGUGUGAAAGCCCCGGGCUCAGCCCGGGAAGGGCACUCGAAACUGCCGAGCUGGAGUGCCGGAGGGGAGAGUGGAAUUCCUGGUGUAGCGGUGAAAUGCGUAGAUAUCAGGAGGAACACCGGUGGCGAAGGCGGUUCUCUGGGCCUGUACUGACGCUGAGGAGCGAAAGCGUGGGGAGCGAACAGG
rnacentral:rRNA from 1 species